GAUGAAGAACGUAGCGAAAUGCGAUAAGUAAUGUGAAUUGCAGAAUUCAGUGAAUCAUCGAAUCUUUGAACGCACAUUGCGCCCGGGAGCAUUCUCCCGGGCAUGCCUGUUCGAGCGUCAUUUCAACCCUCGAUUUCCCUUUGGGGAAGUCGGCCGUUGGAGAUCGGCAGCACUGCCGGCUCCCAAAUACAGUGGCGACCCGCCGCGGGGACCCCUGCGUAGUAACUUACACUCGCACCGGAAACCAGACGUGUCACGCCGUAAAACCCCCAACUUUCUGAACGUUGACCUCGGAUCAGGUAGGAAUACCCGCUGAACUUAAGCAUAUCAAUAAGCGGAGGG
rnacentral:misc_RNA from 1 species